UUUAAGCAUAUCACUCNNNNGAGGAACAGCAAGCUACCGCGGUUGCUGCAGUAAUGGCGAAUGAAUGGGCAACGCAUGGCUCGGCCUGAAAGUGGAGUCCAGAAGCACCUCGUGUGCGACCGGCUCUCGCGUGACUCUCGAUGUGGGCUGUGGAGCAGGCGGUUUGGCUUGGCUUUGGCUCGGCUCCAAGGAACAGGCUGGAAUGCCUUACGCUCGAGAGCGACGGUCUCAUAUGGCGCUGUGCUGGGCCACUGUCUUGCUGGACCGCUUGCAUCCCGGAGUAGAGUUGCUUGAGACUGCAGCUUGAAAUCGGCGGUAUGUCCCGCCGAAGGUCGGAUAUCAGCCAUGGAACCGCUAGCGCACAAGUACCGCGAAGGAAAGAUGCAAAGAACUUUGCAAAGAGGGUUCAAAGUCCCUGAAGCCUUGGCAGGAACGGCGGCGAGUGGUGCUGUGGAUCUCAGUCCGGCCAGCCCUCGGUCGAAGCUCAGUCACCUGGCUCCAGGCUGCGGCCAAGACAUGGAGUUCUGGGUUGGCUGUGGCCGAAACCCUGUGGGUGAAGCCGGUCUGCUCUGGAGCAUAUGCCAAGCGAUCUUGAGCCGGCCCUCAGUCGGCCAUUGAGCCACGUCUCUUCUGGAUGUGAUGCCUGUCAUGGCGAUUUGAGGUGCAACGACGCUCGUCUGGGCUCGAGAUUUAUCCGGCUUCGGCCCGGUUGAGGCAGCACAGCUGUGGCAGCAAGGUUGACCCUGAGUGGCUUUGAGUUUGGACCCGGCUCGAUUGGAUGCCCCACUCGGGGCCAAGGCUCGUGCGUCGCUCAGCCCACAGGGCAGUCUCUGCCCAGCACUGUCUCUCCAGAGGAUGUUGAGUUGCGCUUCUGGGCUGGUUUCCCUUCGGGGUUUCCAGCGACCGUGUCUCGGCCCUGGUUCACGGAGCUGGCCUUCGAGCGGCGACUGCACUCGUCUGCGAGUGGUCCCGGACGUCGGCUGGUUCUCCAGUCUGAGCAUGGAGCCAAAGUUGCAGCAGAGCCAUGGCAGUCGAGCAGUGCCACUCGCUGCCCGUCUUGAAACACGGACCAAGGAGUCUACGGAGCUCGCAGGUUUGCAGGUGCAAUCACCAAACUCUAAGGCAGAGUGAAGGCAAACCGCCCAGAAUGGGCCGCAGCGGUUGUUAUUCGGCUUGUCUCUGUGAUCGCUUCCCCUCUCUCGCGGCUGGAUGGCUUGUGGACUGGACUGGCGCUUGGCAUCUUGGCAGCAACGCUGUGCCAACAGAGUGUGGAUCUGUCUCAGGCUUCUCUGGCAGCGCAGCAGCAGGAUGUGGCACUGGCUUGCAGAUGACACUGCGGCGUCGCCCUGCAUGGGCCGCCGGACCUGAUGUCCAUUGGACUGGGCUCUGAGUGCUUGCGGAUUCCGUGGGACCCGAAAGGCGGUGAACUAUGCCACUCCAUGGCGAAGUCGUGGGAAACCGCGAUGGAAGCCAGCCGCAGUUCUGACGUGCAAAUCGUGUAGCCUGAGCGCGGCAUCGGGGCGAAAGGCCAAUCGAACCGCCUAGUAGCUGGUUUCCCUUGAAGUUUCCCUCAGGAUAGCUGGACCCGAGCGAGUGACCCAGGCUUCGAAGUGGUUUUGUCCGGUAAAGCAACGCACGAGAGGCUUCGGCGGGCCGGUUCACCGGCUCGACCUAUUCUCGAACUGUGAAUGGGCAAGGCGAAUCAGCCAUUCCAGGCGCGCUUCUUCACUGAGUGGAGCCUGUUUCCAAGCAGUUCUUCCGAGAUGAGCGUGUUCUGAUUGCUGACUGGCCAAGCCACGGCCCUGCUUCGGCUGGCCGCCCAGCUGGAUGUGGGUUUGCUCUGGCGCAGCUCUGUGCGGCCCAGAUGUCAGGCCCUGUCCGGUCUGGAGUUGAAGAGUGUGCAACUUGUGCUGUCGAGCUUGUGGAACAGACCGGGUCCAUGUGGGCCAGGACUGGUAAGCAGUGCUGGCGAUGCGGGAUGCUCCGAGAGUGGACUUGCGGCUUCAGAGUGCUGGCUCAUACUCAGAUCCCACAAAGGAUGCUGCCUGCUGGAGAUAGCAGGACGGUGGCCAUGAAGGCUGGAACCCGCUAAGGAAUGCGUAACAGCUCACCUGCCGAAGCGCGCAGCUCCGAAAAUGGAUGGAGCCGAAGUCAGCCGCCCAUUGCCUACAGUCCACCGCUGCAGUGGCAGCCUUGUCUCAGAGCAGAGCCGCAGCGUGUAAAUGGACUUUGGAGACUGGCCGCGCAGACGGGGUUUGAACCCCCGAAGCUUGGAGCGUCUUCUGGCGCAGAUCUUGGUUGCAGUAGCGAAUACUCCAUUCCGGGUUGAGAGCAGACUCAUCCAUGCUGCGUGCGGUUGAGGACGGGAGUGGAGCAGGUUUCCACAUCAAACAGCCGUUGAAUGUGGGUCAUCCGGCCGUGAGCCCAGCGGUAAUCCGCCGCAACGACAAAGCUGUUGAGCGGCCCACGCCCAGCUGCCAAGAGAAGAGUGGUCGAGGGUUGCUGUCCAACCGGUGAUCUGAUGGCCUUCUCCAAGAGCCCUCUCAGCACCAGCCCAAGUUGGCAGCACCAAAACCCAAGGCAAUGCUGGCGCGUGGAGCCUGGUCUGGCAGAACGGGCAAACAGGCAAGCAGUGCAACAUUCUGCUGUGAUGGGCUUGGAGCGCACGGUCGGCGACGACUCGUGACCUGUGGCUAAGCAGGCUUCGGGGCAGUGCAACCCCCAAGGAUUUCUCGUUUCCUUCCGAUGGUUCUAGCUCAUGCGGGCCACAGAGUGUCGGGACAACCGGCGCAGUGCGCCCUCCGCUCAGCAAGGCGGCGCACUCUCUGUGUCGGUUGGCUCCAGCAAGUUGAAGGACAAGGUCUGAAUGGACCAAGUCUCCCGGUUUGGCUGUCACUGGCUCCACUGAAACGCCUGCCAGCAAAGUGCUCUGAGAUCCCUGAUCGCCGUACUGAAUCACCGCAGCCGGUCUCCUCGGCUAGCCGCCGCUUGUCCAACAGACGAAUGCAGCCAAGGGAAGUCGGCAAACUGGCGACGUAUCUUCGGCAGAUGUCGUGGCUCCAGAGGCCAAGCCAGCUCAGGCCCAGCUGUGGGCUGAGUUCGGCCGGUUGGGUGGCGGCGCCGCUUGCUUCCGUGGUUGGGCCAAAACCCAGUCACAACUGCUCGCAGUGCCAGUCUCCUUCCGUGCUGUCUCAGCUCUGCGGCUGGGGGCUUGUGGCGGUUCGCCGCUGCAGGUCCAUCCUGGCGGCUACAGAGUGGCCCGUUUGGAACUGUUGCUGUCCAAGGGAAUCUGACUGUUUAAUUGAAACCCAGCUUUGCGAUCGGUCCAGCUGGCUUGACCCGCGAGGUGACUUCUGCCCAGUGCUCUGGUUGUCAUCCGGAAGAGAUUCAGCCAAGCGCGGGUAAACGGCGGGAGUAACUAUGACUCUCUUGAGGUAGCCAAAUGCCUCGUCAGCCAAUUACUGACGCGCAUGAAUGGAUCAACGAGAUUCCUGCUGUCCCUGGCGGCGAUCUGGUGAACCAACAGCCAAGGGAACGGGCUUGGAUGCGCCAGCGGGGAAAGAAGAGCCU
rnacentral:rRNA from 1 species